rnacentral:rRNA from 1 species
UGGGGAAUAUUGCACAAUGGGCGCAAGCCUGAUGCAGCGACGCCGCGUGAGGGAUGACGGCCUUCGGGUUGUAAACCUCUUUCAGUAGGGAAGAAGCGAAAGUGACGGUACCUGCAGAAGAAGCACCGGCUAACUACGUGCCAGCAGCCGCGGUAAUACGUGGGGUGCGAGCGUUAUCCGGAAUUAUUGGGCGUAAAGAGCUCGUAGGCGGUUUGUCGCGUCUGUCGUGAAAGUCCGGGGCUUAACCCCGGAUCUGCGGUGGGUACGGGCAGACUAGAGUGCAGUAGGGGAGACUGGAAUUCCUGGUGUAGCGGUGGAAUGCGCAGAUAUCAGGAGGAACACCGAUGGCGAAGGCAGGUCUCUGGGCUGUAACUGACGCUGAGGAGCGAAAGCAUGGGGAGCGAACAGGAUUAGAUACCCUGGUAGUGCCAUGCCGUAAACGUUGGGCACUAGGUGUGGGGACCAUUCCACGGUUUCCGCGCCGCAGCUAAGCGCAUUAAGUGCCCCGCCUGGGG